AUGGGAGUGCUGGGCGAAAACUCCUUCCAUGCGGCUCAGAAGCUGGAAAACCUUUUUCUUUUUACCUUAUAUGAGCUGGAGAAGGAGGCCAGGCUCCGGCGGGCGCAUCUGUCAGGGGCGCCGCGGGGACCCAUUGGCUGGGGUGCCGUCACGUGGCCCUGCGCCCUGACCCGCCGCCGCUCAGCUGAGUGUUGGUUUUACCCCCUAAGGAAGGGCCGCUUGACAAUUUUCAUAUUUCUUCUAAAUUUGGAGAUUUCAGACAAUGCUGGGAGGUUUGGCUCAGGAUGCCAGAGGCCCAUGUGGAAGUCAUUAAGUCCGAGAGGGAGAGCAGGAGAGAGGGGGAGAGCGGAGCGCGGGAAGGAGGGGUGCGGGGCACGGGGGGAGGAGGUGGGAGCAGCCAGCCCCGUGCCUGAGAACGACGGGGACGCCUUGGAGAGAGCAGCCCGGAGCUGCUGGAUCCCCACAGCCUCUGCCUGUGCUGCUGUGCCCAUCUGGGGGCUGGCAGCGGGGCGGCAGCAGGGCGGCAGCGGGAGAUGCUGGCGGCUGUCCCACUGGGGGAAGGAAGCGGAGAUGCUCCCUGGCCUGGCUUGUGGUUCCCAUCACUUUGAGGAGCUCCAUCUGGCCUGGGAAAACGGCGUUCCGGCAGCCACGGGGCCUCCCGCACGCACAGGGCCGGCCAUGGCUGUGAGAGCCCGAGUUGUGAGGAUGGUACCCAGUGCCCACAGCCGCUCCGUGGGGCUCAGCGUGGGCCCAACAUUGGCCCAGGCCGCCUCUGCUCUUGGCAGCGGUGCCCUACCCAGCCCCAGCCCCGAUGAUGCUCCAGCUCAGCAUCCAUUCCCGGGCGCUGCCUGGGGAGGGGCACACACUUCCAGCCUCAGAGCGUCCAGCCUGCAGGCAGGGUCUGCUGAGAGAACGCCCGUCCCCAUCACCUGCAGGCUGGGGGCAGCCCCAGAGCCAGGACCGAGGCCGCUGUGCCCUCGUGCCAGGCUUUGCACAGUGUGCCAGCAUUUGGUGCCCCCCUGUCCCUGGCAGGACAGAGCUCGGGCAGGUCCCCAGGAGGCUGAGCAGGAGGAGCAGGGUCAGUGCAUGCUGGGGGCUGGGGAGCACUCAGCUGUGCUGACCCCGGCGAUGCUCAGCACCUGCCCUUGUGCAGAGCACCCUGUGCUGGUACCAGACGCAGCCCCACACCAUCGGCAGUGGGUACCGGUGCUGGCCCGGCACCAUGUGGUCUGGGAACACCGCAUCUCACUGCUGUCCCCUGCUCAGCCCCUGCUGUCGGUGUGCUGGCUUUGA
rnacentral:lncRNA from 1 species